AAGACAUACCUUGAGUAGAUAUGGUUGUCAAGUGUCAUAUUCUUUUAGCUGAAUGGUUCUUCCUAAAUAUUUUAUUUUUCAGAAUCGGAUGAUUCAAGUGAUGAUGAAGAUAUCCCUCUACCCUUGACUGAGAAUGGGAAAAUUGAAUCUAAGGUGGAGGAAGUGAAACCAGAUGCAAGUAAAGGUAAAACUGCUAAACCUGAAUCUUCUGCUAAGCCAAAGGUGACUGUUGUGGAGC